GAUGAAGAACGUAGCGAAAUGCGAUAAGUAAUGUGAAUUGCAGAAUUCCGUGAAUCAUCGAAUCUUUGAACGCACAUUGCGCCCUCUGGUAUUCCGGGGGGCAUGCCUGUCCGAGCGUCAUUUGCAACCCUCAAGCCCGGCUUGUGUGAUGGGUGCCGUCCCCUACGGGACGCGCCCCGAAGGCAAUGGCGGCGUCGCGGUUAUCCGAUCAGCCAAAGUGUAUGGGGCUUUGUCACUCACUUUACGGCCCGGACCGGCGCCAGUCCGAAUCAAUCUUUUUUCUAAAGUUGACCUCGGAUCAGGUAGGGAUACCCGCUGAACUUAAGCAUAUCAAUAGCGGAGGA
rnacentral:misc_RNA from 1 species